GGAAAGUCUUUGAAGAGGAACCUCUACUUUACUUUUUACACCUUCCAUGUAUGAAAGGAAAAUAAAAUCUCGGGACCCCCAACUCACUGUGCCAAAAGGGAAAGUUAAGUUUGGAAACUGAGUCACACAUAAACAAUUGCCUUUCCUUCUCUUCUUAAACAGGUAUCUCCCCAGCUGGCCUCCCUCACCCUGAAAAUUGCAGAAUACUAUUCCACUGUCUCGAUGUACCACAGUUUAUUUAUCCAUUCACCUGCUGAAGAAUACCUUGGUUGCUUCCAAGUUUUGGCAGUUAUGAAUAAAGCUGCUAUAAACAUUCAUGGGUGCCCAAGCUGGAUGUUGGGACAUUCUCCGAGAACGAGAUCUGGAGUCCUGCCUGUGUUUAGACCUUGCCUGACCCCCAACACCCAGACUGAUGCAAUUCUCCCUAUCCAAGUUGUGCCCCCUUCUACCAGAUGGGGUUGCCCAGGCUGGAGUGCAGUGGUGCAAUGACA